rnacentral:rRNA from 1 species
GACGAACGCUGGCGGCGUGCUUAACACAUGCAAGUCGAGCGGAGCGGCGAACGGGCGAGUAACGCGUGAGUAACUGCCCCCCUCCCUGGGAUAACAGUUGGAAACGGCUGCUAAUACCGGAUAGUGGGGGAUGACUCGCGUCCUAUCAGCUUGUUGGUGGGGUAGUGGCCUACCAAGGCGACGACGGGUAGCCGGCCUGAGAGGGCGACCGGCCACAGUCGGCUGGGAUACGGGCCAAACCCCUACGGGAGGCAGGAGUGGGGAAUAUAGCACGAUGGGGGGAGCCCUUAUGCAGCAACGCCGCGUGGGGGAGGACGGCCUUCGGGUUGUAAACCGCUUUCAGCCAUGACGCGGUAGUGGCAGAAGAAGCACCGGCUAACUACGUGCCAGCAGCCGCGGUAAUAC